AACGAACGCUGGCGGCAUGCCUAACACAUGCUAGUCGAACGAGACCUUCGGGUCUAGUGGCGCACGGGUGCGUAACGCGUGGGAACCUGCCCUUAGGUUCGGAAUAACUCCCCGAAAGGGUGCUAAUACCGGAUAAUGUCUUCGGACCAAAGAUUUAUCGCCUUUGGAUGGGCCCGCGUUGGAUUAGCUAGUUGGUAGGGUAAAAGCCUACCAAGGCGACGAUCCAUAGCUGGUCUGAGAGGAUGAUCAGCCACACUGGGACUGAGACACGGCCCAGACUCCUACGGGAGGCAGCAGUGGGGAAUAUUGGACAAUGGGCGAAAGCCUGAUCCAGCAAUGCCGCGUGAGUGAUGAAGGCCUUAGGGUUGUAAAGCUCUUUUACCCGGGAUGAUAAUGACAGUACCGGGAGAAUAAGCGCCGGCUAACUCCGUG
rnacentral:rRNA from 1 species